UAACACAUGCAAGUCGAGCGAUGAACAUUGAAUGAUCCCUUCGGGGUGAUUUCGAUCGGAUUAGCGGCGAACGGGUGAGUAACGCGUGAGGAACCUGCCUCUUACAACGGGAUAGCCUCGGGAAACCGGGAUUAAUACCGUAUAAGACUCCGACACCUCCUGGUGAUGAAGUCAAAGCGUUAGCGGUAAGAGAUGGCCUCGCGUCUGAUUAGUUAGUUGGCGGGGUAACGGCCCACCAAGACGACGAUCAGUAACCGGCCUGAGAGGGUGAACGGUCACAUUGGAACUGAGACACGGUCCAAACUCCUACGGGAGGCAGCAGUGGGGAAUCUUGCACAAUGGGGGAAACCCUGAUGCAGCGACGCCGCGUGAGCGAUGAAGGUUUUCGAAUCGUAAAGCUCUGUCCUAUGGGAAGAUAAUGACGGUACCAUGGGAGGAAGCCCCGGCUAACUACGUGCCAGCAGCCGCGGUAAUACGUAGGGGGCGAGCGUUGUCCGGAAUUACUGGGCGUAAAGGGUUCGCAGGCGGCAUGGCAAGUCCGAUGUAAAAGGCGAAGGCUCAACCUUCGUAAGCAUCGGAAACUGUCAAGCUUGAGUGAAGGAGAGGCAAGUGGAAUUCCUAGUGUAGCGGUGGAAUGCGUAGAUAUUAGGAGGAAUACCGGUGGCGAAGGCGACUUGCUGGACUUCAACUGACG
rnacentral:rRNA from 1 species